rnacentral:rRNA from 1 species
UACGGGGGGAGCAAGCGUUGUUCGGAUUUACUGGGCGUAAAGGGCGCGUAGGCGGCCAGCACAAGUCAGUUGUGAAAUCUCCGAGCUUAACUCGGAACGGUCAACUGAUACUGUGCGGCUAGAGUGCAGAAGGGGCAACUGGAAUUCUUGGUGUAGCGGUGAAAUGCGCAGAUAUCAGGAGGAACACCAGCGGCGAAGGCGGCGCUCUGGGCCGGAACUGACGCUGAGGAGCGAAAGCGUGGGUAGCAAACAGG